GUACGGGAGGCAGCAGUCGGGAAUUUUGGGCAAUGGGCGAAAGCCUGACCCAGCAACGCCGCGUGAGGGAUGAAGGCCUUCGGGUCGUAAACCUCUUUUCUCAGGGACGAUGAUGACGGUACCUGAGGAAUAAGCCACGGCUAACUACGUGCCAGCAGCCGCGGUAAUACGUAGGUGGCGAGCGUUGUCCGGAUUUACUGGGCGUAAAGAGCGCGCAGGCGGUCGUACAAGUCGAAUGUGAAAGCCCCCGGCUCAACUGGGGAGGGUCAUUCGAUACUGUUCGACUCGAAGGCAGGAGAGGGAAGUGGAAUUCCCGGUGUAGUGGUGAAAUGCGUAGAUAUCGGGAGGAAUACCAGUGGCGAAGGCGACUUCCUGGCCUGUCCUUGACGCUGAGGCGCGAAAGCUAGGGUAGCAAACGGGAUUAGAUACCCUGGUAGG
rnacentral:rRNA from 1 species